rnacentral:rRNA from 1 species
CCUACGGGUGGCAGCAGUGGGGAAUAUUGCACAAUGGGGGAAACCCUGAUGCAGCGACGCCGCGUGAGUGAAGAAGUAUUUCGGUAUGUAAAGCUCUAUCAGCAGGGAAGAAAAUGACGGUACCUGAGUAAGAAGCCCCGGCUAACUACGUGCCAGCAGCCGCGGUAAUACGUAGGGGGCAAGCGUUAUCCGGAUUUACUGGGUGUAAAGGGAGUGUAGACGGCUAAGUAAGUCAGAGGUGAAAUCCCAGGGCUUAACCGUGGAACUGCUUUUGAAACUGUUUUGCUAGAGUGCCGGAGAGGUAAGCGGAAUUCCUAGUGUAGCGGUGAAAUGCGUAGAUAUUAGGAGGAACACCAGUGGCGAAGGCGGCUUACUGGACGGUAACUGACGUUGAGGCUCGAAAGCGUGGGGAGCAAACAGGAUUAGAUACCCCUGUAGUC